rnacentral:lncRNA from 1 species
GCCCGGGGGAGCGGGGCAGGGCGCCGCGGGGCGCGGGAAUCCCGCGGCGCGGUGGGCCGGCGGGGCGGGGCCGGGGGCGGAGCCGGCGGCGGGGACGCGGAAGUCGGCGGCGGCAGCGCAGGUGGACGGCGGCGGGGGUGAGCUGAGGGCGAUGCGGCUGCCCGGGCUGUUCGGGCGGCUGAAGGCGGCGGUCGUCGGGGUGGUUCAUGUGGGAGCGCUGCCAGGGACACCAAGAAGUUGUCUUCCUUUGACCCAGAUCAUUGAUCAAGCUUGUCAAGAGGCAGCAGCUUACAUGGAUGCUGGAGUUGUAAGUUUUGGUUUCCUUCUUCCUAUGGCAACAUUUACACAAAGCUGCUUCUGCAUAGCCAAUAUUUUAGAUUGAGUCUGUAAUUCUUCAAAAGC